rnacentral:rRNA from 1 species
AGAGUUUGAUCCUGGCUCAGGACGAACGCUGGCGGCGUGCCUAAUACAUGCAAGUCGAGCGGAUUGAUGGGAGCUUGCUCCCUGAUAUCAGCGGCGGACGGGUGAGUAACACGUGGGUAACCUGCCUGUAAGACUGGGAUAACUCCGGGAAACCGGGGCUAAUACCGGAUAACUCAUUUCCUCGCAUGAGGAACGGUUGAAAGGUGGCUUUUAGCUACCACUUACAGAUGGACCCGCGGCGCAUUAGCUAGUUGGUGAGGUAACGGCUCACCAAGGCGACGAUGCGUAGCCGACCUGAGAGGGUGAUCGGCCACACUGGGACUGAGACACGGCCCAGACUCCUACGGGAGGCAGCAGUAGGGAAUCUUCCGCAAUGGACGAAAGUCUGACGGAGCAACGCCGCGUGAGUGAAGAAGGUUUUCGGAUCGUAAAACUCUGUUGUUAGGGAAGAACAAGUGCCGUUCGAAUAGGGCGGCACCUUGACGGUACCUAACCAGAAAGCCACGGCUAACUACGUGCCAGCAGCCGCGGUAAUACGUAGGUGGCAAGCGUUGUCCGGAAUUAUUGGGCGUAAAGCGCGCGCAGGUGGUUUCUUAAGUCUGAUGUGAAAGCCCACGGGCUCAACCCGUGGAGGGUC